CUCGAUUGUGUCGUCACCUCGUAAACUAUGGAGGGUAGAUAGAGGAGAACUAUUUUAUAUGGGGAAUAUUUGAAAAAGUGUCCAGCUGUACGUAGUAAAUAAUAGUUGAAAAAUCCUCCAAGAGAGGCGCUAGCUGCAGCAAAGGAUAUGAAUUGAAUGUAGCCGUUGGUGACAAAAUAUAA